rnacentral:lncRNA from 1 species
UUCACGACGGUACAUAUUGACCGGUCAGAAAGGAAAGCGCGCACAGCAAGGCAAUUCCAUUCGCCAACUGGUUACUUUCAUCGACAACGUCCGCGACGUUUUUCCAGCCUUCCACCCGGCUUGCACGUAAAUUAGAUAUGUGCGCGCGCUUGUUCAAUCAAUUCGGUCCACGUACACAGGGGAACGUUUUCGAUAUUCGCUUCAUCGAUUGAAGUCCUGCAUGAAUGGCCAGUGCAUUCGGUCGGUCCAUUUCAACGACACAGCAACAAGAUUGCUAGCCAAGAAAUAUUUGCGUGAUUUUUUCUAGCCGGAAACCAGCAUAAAUACGUCGACCUGUGCGACUUGACAACCGUGUGAGGGCAAACGACGCAAGUGGAAAUAAUCAUGGAUGAAACGAUUGCGAUCGCCCCUUUCGUUCUCCGAAAAACGAGAAAAGUAAUGGUAAAGUUGUACUCUCAUGUCUGAAAUACGGACGACAAGCGGAAAAACGGACGAUAACCGAGUACUCUAUGUACCGAAACCCUGACGAUCGUUGACUGGCAAGAAAGGAACAAAGCUCAAGGGAGACAACUAUCGAUUCUUGUAAUGCGUAACGUUUGAUUAACGAGACGCUUUUCCGCACAAUUACGUCAUUGCGAUACGUCGACGACGAUAGGAUAGGCGGAGGAAGCGUUGACAGACGUCUAUCGCCAUGAAGGCGAACGAUGGGAGGCGUUCACCCUUUUGUCGUGAUCGGAUAAGCCGAUAACAAUGGAGAUAAUGAAGGUAGGACUUUUGGUGAGAUUUACGAAGCAACCAGAUAACCAUUAUUAUAAGAAAUAAAUAUUCAACGUUUUGGUUCUGAUUGAAUUUCUUCAAGAAAAAAAUGAUUUCCUGCAAAGAAUUUUUAUUCGGGCAAGUGAAAUUGAUGAGAAAGUAGCGGAAAUAAUAAUAAAGACGAUAUUAUUGCAGUAUAAUAAUUCGUAAUACGCGAACAUCCUUCUAGGACAUCAUUAUCAUCCUUAUCAUCAUGGGCCAUGUGGUUCCACGACGUCAGAUUUUCGGCCUCACGUGCCGUCAGUUCUAAAGAGGACACGACGCUGACACAUACUUGUUAUUCAUUUGAUUAGUUUCAUCAACGCAAUUAUAAUUUAUGUGGAAUCCGCGCGUGCAAGAACUUCCGCCUCGUUGCAAGACAUUCUUGGAAGUCACGGCCACCUCUGCCCACCACGGGUUAAAGGCGGCGCUAAGGUACGAAAGCUGCGAGCGUUUAAGAGUUCCAAGGACGCAUAAAUAGCAAGCUCGUUUGCCCGAACAAGUCCUCACUCCCGAAACUCGGUACAAGAGGAGCUGGCAAAUUCCUCGUUCCAUUUUCAUCCCAGACAAUAUGCCUCUCGCGGCACGACCAACUUUCUCGGAACAUAUUUUUUCGUAGAACGUCGCGGGGUUGGAGCGCGUCUUAAAUCAUUUGGAUCUUCUCCUUCUCGUACUCGGCGGAAUAUCUGCUCGGUUCGAGAAGCGGAACGAAAGCAGGCUCUGCGAAUAAAGGAAGAGCGGAGGGAACGGAAAGAGAGGACAUCGUGGUCCAGCGCGGGACGUCGGAAAGGGUUGUCAGCUCAAAAGGGGAUUAAAGAAGAACGGAAUUUCUAGUAGUUAUGCCUGCCGGACUCGCAGCCUGCCUUGAAUUAUGAUCGCGCCCACUCCAGUCUCUAUUAAAGUUAUAAAUUUUCAAUUCAAUAACAUGUCGACUAUCGUCGGAUACAAUCACUGUUCGACCUAUUCGUUUGCUUAUAGCCUUGUAUACGUGUUUCUUUUCACCUAGGCGUCUCCGUGUCGAUCUCGAACGAACUGUAUAUUCGAGUUCAACGAAAUCUACGUGCGCUUCGCUGGCAACGUCCGAGGCUGUAUACGUAUAUGAACGGGCGGUCAUAUGUUCCGACAUUUGACAAAUUGUCCCAAUCCGGAACUCGCCGUUAAUCUAUUCGUCGUUACCUCUCUGUUGGUCGGAUCUCGCACGAAGAUCGAUAUCGUCAUUGGCAAACUGCCUAAGUCCGAAUAUGCCGGAUGUGUAACCAGCGGGAUUCUGUCGUCUUGCGAAAUGGACCGACGACGCGAUGUUCGCCUUUCUAUUAUUCCUUUCGAACGAUUCGCGCGUUCUUUAUGACCAAUAGCAGUGGAGUAGAGAAGCCGCUAACUCGUCCUCCGAAUCACGCGUGCACGGAUUAUCACGGCGGAUAGCCGGCCGUUCCUACUCGACUAGAAGAGAUUACACGCUCCGAACUUCGACAGUUAACGUCGCGAUAAAUUAUAGACCGUGGUGAAGAUCGCGCAUUGACGUACGAGCGGUUACGUCACUGUUGCCCCGCUCGCCACUAUUAUCCUUUCCCGCAACACGCGACCCAACAUCACGAAUGAUGCACCGUCCAAGUUUCCAACUUUUCAUCGAUGAAUCUUAAUUCGGCUGGUGCGUUUCUGCAACUCGCGGUAUUCUCGUAAUUCAAACUUACCAAAUAUAACUAUGUUGCGUUGUUCUGCGAUAAAUGACGAACAUCAGAGGGAAUUAAGGUUUGAGUUGAUUUCAUAGUUUCACUGUUCAACGAAGCAAUGAUAUCCGUUAACAAAAUAAAAAAAA